rnacentral:rRNA from 1 species
GAUGAACGCUGGCGGCGUGCCUAAUACAUGCAAGUCGAGCGGAAAGACGCGGAGCUUGCUUUUUUGUUGUUAGCGGCGGACGGGUGAGAAACACGUGGAUACUCUACCUAUAAGACUGGGAAAACUUCGGGAAAGCGGAGCUUAUACCGGAUAAGAUUUUGAAGCGCGGUGUUCAAUGGAGAAAGUCGGUGUUGGUGGCACGUAUAGAGGGAUCCGCGCUGCAUUAGCUAGUUGGUAAGGUAACGGCUUAUCACGGCAACGAUGCAUAGCCGACGUGAGAGAGGGAUCGGCGACACGGGAGCUGAGACAGGGACCAGACGCCUACGGGAGGGCGCAGUCGGGAAUCGUCCGCAAUAGGCGGGAGCCUGACGGAGCGACGGCGCGUGAGUGGUGGCGGCGCUCGGAUCGGGAUACUCUGUUAUUAGUGGAAAACAGAUGUGGACGUAGAUGUAGCCAGCGUGACGGUACCUGAUAAGAAAGCCACGGCUAACUACGUG